AUAUGAAGGGGGCUAGCGUUGCUCGGAAUGACUGGGCGUAAAGGGCGUGUAGGCGGUUUACACAGUCAGAUGUGAAAUCCCCGGGCUUAACCUGGGAGCUGCAUUUGAUACGUGUAGACUAGAGUGUGAGAGAGGGUUGUGGAAUUCCCAGUGUAGAGGUGAAAUUCGUAGAUAUUGGGAAGAACACCGGUGGCGAAGGCGGCAACCUGGCUCAUGACUGACGCUGAAAGGCGCGAAAGCGUGGGGAGC
rnacentral:rRNA from 1 species